rnacentral:rRNA from 1 species
AGGGAAAGUUGAAAAGAACUUUGAAGAGAGAGUUCAAUAGUACGUGAAACCGCUUAGAGGUAAACGGAUGGGACCGCAAGGCUCCCCGUGGGAUUCAACCCAUCGUGGGUGCUAUGGCGGCUAGGCGUCGACUACUGUUAYGGUGGCCCGCCCGGUCGUUCGUACGCAUCUUCGUUGGGUGCACUUUCCACGGGACUAACGCUAGGACUGGUUCGUGGGUGUCUAAAAGCUCGUCGAGGGCAAGGUAGCUCGGUGUGCAAGCAUCGUGAACUUAUAGGUCUUCCGAGUUGGCAGCAUUCGUGGACCGAGGACGUUAUCCGCCUCUAGGUGGGCACCCCCGUUCCUUCCAUCGUCGUCGACUGUUGUGGACUGUUCGCAGUGCGCGACGACUGCCGGUGGUUGUGGAUGGUUGGGAUCGUUUCCCAUCUAGUAAUAGGGUCCCUAGCUAAUCGGUCGGCACCCCAUCCGACCCGUCUUGAAACACGGACCAAGGAGUCUAACAUGUAUGCGAGUCCUAUGGUGGCAAACCUAAAGGCGAAAUGAAAGUGAUUACGAUGUGAUCCCGUUGGAGACAACGGGCGCAACGUCGGCCUGUCUCUAUUAACUGCGUAUGUAGUUAUGCAAGUAACUCGAACGUUUGGGAAAGAGGCAGAGUUCGAGCAUACACGUUGGGACCCG